AAGGAAAAGCACAUUCACAAGAGACCGCCCAGCGAAUUAGAUGUUACAACAUGAAGUAAUGGCUGUCCCCCCCCCCCCGCCUUUUAUUUCAUAUUAUUUUAUUCCAUAUUUCUUAUUGGAUUGCUAUAACAAAGUCCUGAGAUGGGAAAAAGAAAAAGACAUGCAAGGGAAAGGGAGAGAAGAGGGAGGGGGGAAUUCUUAAUUUAAUUUGCUAUGUGAAAUUAUUAAUUUAAUUUACUAUGUGGAAAAUAUUUUUCCCCUCCCAAAAGCAGCACAGACUUUUUUCUUUUAACCUUUGGGGCUUUUUGCCUCUUUGGUGCUCACUCUUAACUGCGUUUUCUUUUGUACACGUGUGUAUUAUUUAUCUCCCAUCUUUCUUCACCCAAAGAUGGACACCAAAGGGCUCACAAGAAUCACGGAAACAGCAAACCACAGUAGUAAGCCCAAGACACAGUAGUAAGCCCAAAUACAAGACACACCCAAUGUCAUGUAGUAUAGAAGUAGUGGGAAAUGGCAUACAGGAGAGGAACAUCAAGGUUGUUUGGAAGGCGCGUGACUUUAUCCUCAAAAGUGCUGUGCAAACGUGUCGCAGUGGACCUUCAAGGCUUUUCUGGUGUGCCCUCCACAGAAAACUAUCUCCAGACCUCCCUGGAGGGCAGUGCUCCCCCUGCACAGGGCACAAACCCAAAGGGGUGCAAUGCGCAAAACAGAAGGAAAGAGGGAGGAAGCUGACAAAUUUUGCCCUUGCCCAGGGCACAGUAUUACCAAAGUUUGCCCCUGCUGGAGGGUUCAAGGAUGCAACAGAGGCAGCAAAGUAUGCCUAUUUUGCUGCCCUCAUUGCCACACUGUAGUCCUGAUGAUGGAGUAUUGUAGAGGCUACCAUGUCCACCCAUGUCCACCCGCCCAUUGUAUGCAGAUAUAUGGACCUACAUAACUAAUUAUGACAGAGCACAGUUGUCUUAUCACCCUUUCAUGGUGUCCUCACAUCAAAGCCUACUGUAUAGAUGUUCAUACUGGUACUUUUUGACACAUACAUAUGUACCCCCGCUGUGAUUCUUUAUUCUUCCGUAUUCCUUGAUCCUGGUUGGCAAGUAAAACCUGUGCCACAAAAGUACAGGAUUUCCAGCAUUUUAACUGAUUCCAUAGCAAAUUAUGUGAAAAAGCAGUGAUUUCAUACUUGAAAGAAACUCGCACAUGUGUUUUCAUCAACAUCUCGCAUAGGCAUUUAAGUCCCAUUGUAAAAUCUCAGGCUCCUUAACAUAACUUUUUGCUGUCUUUUACACAUGCAAUGAGCACAUGAUUCCUCCCAAACUUUUUUAAUGGUGCAGUAAUGCCCACUGCAUAAUCUCGCACACAUAUAUUUCAGUCUUCCUCAUAUAAUACAUCACAAAAUAGGACGCAUGAUUGGGAAAAAUUUUAUUAUAACUUCCACGCCCCAUUCCAAAACCCACCAAACCUCCAUAGUCAUCCACAUACACUGGGUAGUAACUGCUGUGGUAAAUUGUUCAAACUUAGAAGCAUCUUUCGUUGUCCUUAUACUUUCUGGAAUCCUUCGCACUGUUUCACACACAUACUCGUAUAGAAAUCCAUGGUAACUGCAAGAAGCAAGAAGGCUGAUUCACAAAAGCAUGUUUCAAACUUUUCCUAUUUAUUUUUCACUCCAGGGUAAUAUUGAGGUGGUGCAGCCUUCAGUUGGGCACCCACUUUUACAGUGCCCAGCUAAAUAGGGAACGGAGCCUGUGGUUAUGGCAAUGUGCACCUCACCAAGCAAUUAUUACAGUUUAAUAAAGGAUUCCCACCACCACAGAAUCAGCCUUCAGGUAAGAUUUGAACUGUCAAUGAGGUAACCAGAUUCAGUGGAUUACACUGCUACUAGGUUUUAGGGCUGUUCCACAUUUUAGGCAUAAUUGCUGCAGAUGCAUUUUAGGCAUAAUUGCUGCAGAUUGCUGCAGGUGUUUUCUGUAGUAUUCAUGCGGGUGGUGUGACAUUUCCAUCACACAAUUUCAUCUAGGUUUUAAAUGUGAGGUGGACAACCUGUGCUUAGGGCUAAGUAGCUAUGGGUUUAAAAAACAAAACUUUGGCAUGGUAUGUGAGCUUAAACGUGUCAGCUCAGAACUAAGCCCAAUGAGUUCAGUUGAACUUACUCUGCGGUAGGUGUGCAUAGGAUUGAUCCUUAAUGAUUUAUCUACAGAUCUUACACCAUUUGUCUAUGAUGGGUAGGGGUUAUAACACCACCACAAAAUGUCACAAUAUGGACUUUGUUUUAUUGAGCCUUGGUUGUACACACCAGUUUGAAAGUUUGAGAGAGACUGUAUUUGGCAUGGACAAUAUAGCACUGGCAUAGGUUUCUUCCUCAGUGGAAAAAGGAACCAGAUUGUGACUUCAUUAAUUAACCACUUCCAUAUGAAGGCUCAUUUCCCAGAGAACCAGACGGAGUCCAUGCAAUUCAUGGCUCUCAAAACUUGUAGUCAUCUUGCAGUUGAUGCUGCCAAGACUGAGUAGAGAAAUUGGGGGUGGGAGAGUACUGGUAUUAUUUCUGAACUCUCCAUCUCUUCCCAGUGAACCUUAUUUAUAAUAUAAGGAGGGAAGAAAAGGAAAGGAAAGGUGUGUGAGCAACCUGUGAUUUUAUUCACACAAUGCUGUAUUUUUUAAAAAAUGUGAUACUUAUACAGUGGCUAAUAAAAUCAGUGCAGUGACCUUUUAAGGAGAUUUAAGAGCAGUUAACUGUUCUGGAGAGUGCCUGAAUACAUGCUGAGAUCACAAAUGACCACAUCCUGGCACCAGAGUGACUUUUUAAAGACAUUCUAGUAUGUGCUGUUCAUGCGUUUAAAGUUAUUGGGAGCUUCUGCACUCUACAUUAGACCUGAAAUUUGCACACAUUUGCUCAACAGAGAAACACAACUACUGCAAACUCCACUGUGAUUAAGGGUCAUCCCAGUUACACACGGGUUUUGAGAGAUGGAGUCUUAUUUUUAGCAGGGUCAAAAAGAGGGAGUGAAUUCAAGACUGCAAUCUUGCGCACAUAGUCCCAUCACACUCAAUGGACCUUGUGAGUAAGAUAGCACUGUAAAUCACACACCAGGCAGUUAUAAUGGUCAGGGAUAACUGCAAAAGAUAAGGAGGCAUUUUAUCUUCAAACCAUUUGAAUGGGCUUCCUUGAUUGGAAGUUGCUUUUCUAGGAUUCCAGAAAAUUCCUUCAAAAUGGGGCAUUGCUAGGUACAUGAGACACAAUAGUUCUAGAGCUCAGUCUCUCUCUCUCUCUCUCUCUCUCUCUCUCUCACACACACACACACACACACACACACAUGUAACCUGCUUCCCAUCCUUUGUACUGGAAAUCCUUUAACUAGAAAGGCCAGAGGUUGAGUCUGAGACAUAAUGAAUGCAAACCAUGCAUUCUACCACUGAAUUCUGGCCAUAUGGUUAAGGACCAGCUUCACUGGAAAUAUUUUUUUUUAAAGGGGGGGGAGCUCUAUUCAAGAUCAAAUUGGAGUCUAGGCCCUGGCCAGUGACCACUUAACCUAGGCAGCUUUGCAAGAGAAAAUGAAUUCCAUCUUCAGAGGGGUGGGGGGACCAACAAUUUUCAGCCAGGAGAUGAUUUUGUUAGAGCACAUACCUGAAACAGACUUGCAAGCAAGCUUGAUUCUAUUUAAAAAGUUGGCAACAAACCCUUGUAAAAUUCAAGGCCAUGCAUUCCAAACAUAUACUAAGGAACACCUGUGAGCUCUGCUUUGGGACAAGGAGGUUAAUGUGUUAGUGUAAGUCGAUUUGUGGCCAAAAACUUAAAAUCCGUUACUUGUGCAAAACAUUCUGUCAAACUGAAGGACAUGAGCAAGGAAGGCAGUGAUGUUUUAGGGAAUGUUGUCGCAGACUGGAAAGUAAACUAGUCAUUUAACCAAAAUUCAGUUAGCUUUCCUUUUAUUUCAUCCACCAUUCCCGCAGGCCUGAAGAGUCCUUCAAAAGAUGGCUUGGAGCAUAAAUGAUGUCAUGUGACUCCCCGCCUCCACUCUCUACCCCAGCACAAGGAGAACUAUGACGUAUGAGAUUUCGAAACAGACUGACACGAGAGGCCAAAGAACAGAUGGAAGCCUUAAGUUCUCAGGGUUGGCCCAAGAAAUUUUGUUGCCUGAGGCAAAGGACAAGAUGACUGCCACCCCUUCAAAGCACAGAAACUGCCUGGGUGGGCAGCUGAAUCUUAGAAGACUCAGGGCAGGCAGUGUGGCACACAGAACUCUGUACUUCAGUACCUUGCCACCACUCCCUGCCUGCUCCACAGUGCCUAUGGGCAGGGCCGGCCCUGUAAGUUCUGCACCACUAGCACUCUAGUUCUCCAGCAGCAACAGAGCAGACUCAGCUCCAUAGGCCCAGCCUGACUAGUGUCAAGUGACUCCGCAGGGCUAUCCAGACCAGACCCUAGAAAGUCCCGACAAAGGGAAAGGAAAAACAGCAGAGUCUUGCGGCAGACUAGAUUUAUUGUGGCACAACAUUUCAUGGAUUAAGUCAGCUGCAGCACAUGAAGGGGUGGCAGAACCAUAGCUACAGGUGAGCUAGCAGGGAUUUUGCCCCUGGUGAAGCCUCCAUUGAAGGGCACCAUUGAGGCUGUAUGCAAAUGUGGUGUGUGGGUGUGUGGAUGUGUGGCAAAGUGAGUCUUUGACCCGGGUGAAGUAAAGCCUCAUACAGUGUAAUAUGUCAUGUGUUGUUGUUCAUCAGAUGUUAUAUUUACCUAAUUUUAAGACCUGCUAAGGAACAGAUGAUUGUUAUCUGUCCUGAUGUGUAAAACAACACAACUCAAAAGAGGGUGUUUUCUUUUUCCCAUGACUGUGUUGAGGUGGAAUUCCAAGGUAACUCUAGACAGGGAGGAGGAUGGGGACAAAACUAGGAUAAGUUGGCUUUGCCUGUCACUGGCUGUCAGGGACAGUGCUGAGGAGGGCUGCACUGAGGAGGAAUGGUGGGAGCCUCCCACUGCUCCUGAUCAGGAUCCUGAAUCUUCCCAGGAGCAGGAGGACAAGUAUAGAUUUGGUUUGAAGAAGGGCAUAGUUCAGAAGGCAGAAGCUGGGAAACACAGGAUGGGAAACAGCUAGGAGAAGAAGCACUGGGAGAGGGAGAGUUAACAGAUUCACUGUCUCCAGAAAGCAUUCCUCCACCAGAAGAGCUGAUUAAGGUGGCAGGACAGAAAGCACAGAGAUUACGAACUCAGGUUACAAGAUGCAGUGGUGACCUGGGUGACUAAGGAGGAAGUGGGUGGAACUCUUAAUUGGGAGCACUGCCAUUCCUAGGAAAUGGUUUCUUUGUUCUCUCGCUGUGAUCAUUAAAGUUUCUAACUGG
rnacentral:lncRNA from 1 species